rnacentral:rRNA from 1 species
GAUGAACGCUGGCGGCGUGCUUAACACAUGCAAGUCGAACGGUAAAGCAGGAGCUUGCUCUUGUGGAUCAGUGGCGAACGGGUGAGUAACACGUGAGCAACCUGCCCCUGACUCUGGGAUAAGCGCUGGAAACGGCGUCUAAUACUGGAUAUGUGAUGUGACCGCAUGGUCUGCAUCUGGAAAGAAUUUCGGUUGGGGAUGGGCUCGCGGCCUAUCAGCUUGUUGGUGAGGUAAUGGCUCACCAAGGCGUCGACGGGUAGCCGGCCUGAGAGGGUGACCGGCCACACUGGGACUGAGACACGGCCCAGACUCCUACGGGAGGCAGCAGUGGGGAAUAUUGCACAAUGGGCGGAAGCCUGAUGCAGCAACGCCGCGUGAGGGAUGACGGCCUUCGGGUUGUAAACCUCUUUUAGCAGGGAAGAAGCGAAGGUGACGGUACCUGCAGAAAAAGCACCGGCUAACUACGUGCCAGCAGCCGCCGUAA